AACGGGGCAGUUUCAAGAUUUAUUUGGUGGGUGAGAGGACAAGGAUACAAAGCACAGAAAACUCUUGGCUCUAAAAAGUUACACUGGAGGACAGGGGGACAUGGAGGCCACUGAAUGACCUGGCCCAGACGAAAGGAAACCAGUCUUCUUGGUCCAUGACGCUCUGCGACACUGCUGGGGAAGGGCAGAGCCAGCUCUGGACAUAAGCCUCAUGUAUCCACUCACGCUGAGGGAAAAGUCCUCCUAUGUUUUGCUGAUACAACAGGGUUAGAAGGUCUGGCGAGGUGUCAUGUGGCAACAUCACUCUUCACUCUGCUACACCAGUGUCUGUGAUGAACUCCAAAAUAAUCUAAAGGAGAAAGUCAACAAGGCCAGCAGCUUAGAAUUUUCAUCUCAGAAACAAAGGCUGACUUAGCCCCUUGGCAUUAACUUACCACGAGGAGGCCUCUCCAGGAGAACUGGGACCCAGGUAAGCAUCCUGAGAGGGCCAGUGCGUCCAACCCCUUGAGGCUUCCUCCAACGAGCUCCAGAUCUACAGCAGCACCCCUAGAGUGACAAGGAGGCCACAGAGCAGGAGGUCACAAGGAGCAUUUGAUCUCCAAUGUCAUCUCCUCUUUCUUCAAGCUGUCAUCAGUGAGGAUGCCCCCAAUUAAUCUGGGAUGAGUUGCCAGUUUUGUUUUUCACACUAAACUUGACUCAAAAAAGAAUCUCAGUGCUCUCAGAGAAGAGUUAAAAGGAACAGGUCUUAAAAAAAUGGGCUUUUUCAGGGCAACACAGACAUCUGCUGUGUUGCCCUGAAACUGCCAGAGCUCCUCCCACUGAGCCCCACCACACCGUGGUGGGAGUGAAGGGCGCCACCUCAGCAGCUGGCCCUCCACACUGUCAUUACCUGCCUGCACAUCUGUCUUCCCAGGUGCCCAUGCUCACCCCGGCCUCAAAGUCGUCCUCAUGUUGCUCCCCUCCCUUGAAUACUUUCCUAUGGCCCAUCACAUCCCACCCCUUCAAGGGCCUGCCCAGGCCUACCACCUCCAAAAAGUGCUUCCCUUUGAAAAUCUUCUGGCAGUCACUAUAUACCACCUGACAUUGCACUUAUUCAUUAUGCAUAAUUCAUCCUGGCUCCUUACACCCCCUAGGGUAUCUAAACCUGACACAGACAUAGCCUGGCUCAGAUAACAGGAGGCCAAGCUGAGAAAGGCCGAGCUAAGAAGCCUCCUGUCACUGAACCUCACACAGCAGCCCACGAUGCCUGAGCGCAGAAAGCACUGGCUGGAGGGAGGUGGGAGUGUGUGAAAGCGCCAGCAUUUGAAAGGGACAGGUGUGGACCCUCCAAACACGGGAAACUGCUUUCAACAAUUCCUUUCCCUGCGUUAUCAAUGACCAGAGCACAGACAGCCCGUGAUCACUUUUGAAUGCAGGUGUGUACAAGGGCAGAGAGAGAUCUGGAAGAGGAGCAGGUGCCAGCAGCCUGUGGAAUAGGUUGAGUCUGGGAAAACAACUCAGCCAAGCACAGGACCCCAGGAAUGGCUAUUCCUUCCUGCGAAAGCCCCACAGAACCUCGCUACAAUCAAAGAGAAGUCACUUUGGGCAAAAACAUUGGGAAAAUAUUAAGGUUGGAAAGGAUAGGAAUCAUGUGGGCUUAAGUACCACAAAAGUCACCUCUAUCAUAGCUUUGUUUUUCAAAUGAAGAAAAGAAGGUUCUGAAUAUGUCACUGACUGAGAUGGCAGCAGAAGGGAUUCAAACCCAGGACGGGAGUAUCUGAUGCUUAGGUCCACCCAUUUUUCCAUUACAACAUGCUUCUGCUGACACUCCAGGGAGGGUGGGCAGAUACCCCAGAGACCUAUCAUUACCCAAAGGGGACUCCGGAGGCCCCACCCCUGCAGCAGCCGCUAAAGACAUGUAAAGGACCAAAAGUGAUCUAGGUUGCCUGGGGCUGGGGUAGCGAGUGGAUCUGGGAACUCACGGACACUAUCUUCAUCUCAACUCUCAGCUCCCCUACAUCUUCACCGAAAGCCCCUGGAAACACAAACAGGACUCUACUGGAUGCAAGGAAUCAACACACUAGAGAACAGACCCUCUAGAGAUCUUACCUCAAGGACACUGGGGUCUAGAAUGUUCCUGACAUGAUAACUCCCAUGACCACCUUGGCACACAGUGGACUCAUCUGAAACAGAAAGAAGCCAUGAAUGAGCACCUCACUUGUCCCUGCUCACAACAGGGCAUGGUCGGCAUCAGGAAAGAGCUGAGCACAGUAGUUACCAGAUAGUAAGCAGUCCACAAAUGCCUGCUGUUAUUACUUCCUAAACAGAUACAUUAUUUUCUCAUAAAAGGGAUAGUAGUUAACUCUAAAGAGUUAAAGAGGGAGACAGUGGAUGGCCUACGGCAGGGUGGGCAACACUGAUUAACGUGUAAUUAAUCAGCGAUAGGCUGAAAAGGAUGCCAAGGCCGGGUUUAUGGGAGUGUGCCAUGGCUGACUCACAGCAACCGAGCUGGGCAUGAAGCGGAACUUAAGCAACACACAUAGCCUGGUUCCCAACAGCAGGGGCAGGAAGUGAAAGCCCCAGCAAUGACACCGACACACACAUGACAGCCCUCAAGGCCCUGGAGGCCCAAGGUGUGUGUAGAAGAGAAGUAGGAAUGUGGAAAAGCUCCCAGAUCUGGAAGGGGAGGAUGUGGACCCUCCAAACAUGUGACAAUCCUCUCCACGUUUCCUCUGUCUGCACUACCAAUGAACAGGACACGGGCAGCUGUGAUCACUUCCAAAUGCAGAGGCAGAAAAGGACAGAGGGCUUGCUGAAAAAGGAGGCCAGUGGCAGAGGCCUGGAGGAGUCAGCCUAGUUGAGCACAGCACCACGUAAUUGCUUCAAUCCUGCAGAAAAAUUCCUUCAACUUGGCCCAGACAGGAGAGGAAAGGGUGGACACCUCUGAAAGAAAAGCGAUAGAGUUGUUGGGUUGUAAAAGACAGGGGCUAUGCGAUCCUAAGAAAAAUGGCCUCAUUGUAUUCCUGCUUUCUGGGUGAUGAGACCAGGGAUAAGAGAAGGUCCCAGAGCUAAGAAGGGGCAGAGAAGUGACUGAGACCCGGGCACAGGCGAAUAUGCCAAAAUCCUUCCUGCUUUAGAUUCAGCCAUUCUGAUGCCAACAGAUCAAUUUGAGGAAGGGCUCCCCAAGGGCUCUCAGAACCAAGCACAUAAAGAGGAAGCAGGUGCAUUCUCAAAGGUCACAGAGAGUAAAAUUGAGGGCCAGGACAGAGCCACCCUCCUGUCUCCUCUAUCUACUUCCCCGACGACAUCACACCCAGGGAACCUGCAUGCGCCUGUGGGAUGCAAAGCCCCAGAUUUCCAGAGAACAGACCUCACCUUGGGAGCACUGUGGUCCAGCUGCUUCCUGACAGGAUGGAGACACCUCUCAAGGGCCCCUCUGCACCGAGCUGCCCCCUCUGCAAUAA
ensembl:lncRNA